UCCUCAGUAGCUCAAUGGCAGAGCAUCCGGCUGUUAACCGGAGGGUUGCUGGUUCGAGUCCAGCCUGAGGAGCCA
rnacentral:tRNA from 2 species